rnacentral:lncRNA from 1 species
CCACUACUUACUAUCAUCCCCUCUUCGUCACUCACCACUAUUGCCACCACCACUAUCACUAUUGCCGAUCACCCUUGCACUAUCACCUCAUUGCUACUCAGUACCAUUAGUGGUCAACUUUAGAAGUUCAUGAGAUGUAGGACAAAUAGAAAGAUUUAUGAUUUCCAUAAAGAGGCUUGAAGAAGAGAGAUUAAAGGUUGACUUUUAGUAAAUUCACUUGAGGUAGUCAAAUCACUCAACCCAC